AUGAACAGGUGUUGGAUAAUUAACCUGAUUAAUGUUAAGCUAGCAACGUAACUUCGGUCUCAAGUUAACGUUGUUUGUCCUAAGAUGAAAUAACUCGCGACUCCAUGAAGAGGAAAUAAAUGAUAUGUAGAUAUCGAGAGUUAUGUCCAGUCUGCAGCCUAAAGACACUCAGUUCAUCAUAGAAACCAAAGGUGGACACGCAAUGUUUUAUAAUUCAGGCCUGGAACAACAGAGAUGUGGAGAACAUGCUGAUGGAUCACCACAACCAGAGCAACUCAGGACGACACCACGACAAGAACCUGGACAGAUAAACUGUUGAUAUCUCGUCUGUGACGUUGAACGAGUUUAAAUCUCAGAUAUUAAAAAUAAUUAAAUUCACAUAUUUAAUAAAUAAAAGUCAGAAAAAGCUG